rnacentral:rRNA from 1 species
UGAGGAAUAUUGGUCAAUGGGCGCAAGCCUGAACCAGCCAUCCCGCGUGCAGGAAGACGGCCCUAUGGGUUGUAAACUGCUUUUCCAGGGGGUGAAACUCCCGUACGAGUACGGGACUGACGGUACCUUGGGAAUAAGCAUCGGCUAACUCCGUGCCAGCAGCCGCGGUAAUACGGAGGAUGCGAGCGUUAUCCGGAUUUAUUGGGUUUAAAGGGUGCGUAGGCGGAUUAACAAGUCAGUGGUGAAAUCCUGCAGCUUAACUGUGGAACUGCCAUUGAUACUGUUAGUCUUGAGUAUGGUCAAGGUAGGCGGAAUGUGUAAUGUAGCGGUGAAAUGCUUAGAUAUUACACAGAACACCGAUUGCGAAGGCAGCUUACUAAGCUACAACUGACACUGAAGCACGAAAGCGUGGGGAUCAAACA